rnacentral:rRNA from 1 species
CAGUAGCCGCGGGAAUACGUAGGUGGCAAGCGUUGUCCGGAAUUAUUGGGCGUAAAGGGCUCGCAGGCGGUUUCUUAAGUCUGAUGUGAAAGCCCCCGGCUCAACCGGGGAGGGUCAUUGGAAACUGGGAAACUUGAGUGCAGAAGAGGAGAGUGGAACUCCACGUGUAGCGGUGAAAUACGUAGAGAUGUGGAGGAACACCAGUGGCGAAGGCGACUCUCUGGUCUGUAACUGACGCUGAGGAGCGAAAGCGUGGGGAGCGAACAGGAUUAGAUACCCCCGUAGUCCCUGUCUCUUAUAC